rnacentral:rRNA from 1 species
AUUGAACGCUGGCGGCAUGCCUUACACAUGCAAGUCGAACGGUAACGGGCCUUCGGGUGCCGACGAGUGGCGAACGGGUGAGUAAUGCAUCGGAACGUACCUUUCAGUGGGGGAUAACGUAGCGAAAGUUACGCUAAUACCGCAUAUUCUGUGAGCAGGAAAGCAGGGGAUCGCAAGACCUUGCGCUGAUUGAGCGGCCGAUGUCAGAUUAGCUAGUUGGUGAGGUAAAGGCUCACCAAGGCGACGAUCUGUAGCGGGUCUGAGAGGAUGAUCCGCCACACUGGAACUGAGACACGGUCCAGACUCCUACGGGAGGCAGCAGUGGGGAAUUUUGGACAAUGGGGGGCAACCCUGAUCCAGCCAUGCCGCGUGAGUGAAGAAGGCCUUCGGUUGUAAAGGUCUCUUUCGGUCCGGGAAGAAAGUACGUAAUGGGCGUAAUACCCUGUGCGGAUGACGGUACCGGC